rnacentral:rRNA from 1 species
UACAGAGGUCCCAAGCAGUUGUUCGGAUUCAUUGGGCGUAAAGGGUGCGUAGGCGGCGCGGUAAGUCGGGUGUGAAAUCUCGGAGCUUAACUCCGAAACUGCAUUCGAUACUGCCGUGCUUGAGGACUGGAGAGGAGACUGGAAUUUACGGUGUAGCGGUGAAAUGCGUAGAUAUCGUAAGGAAGACCAGUGGCGAAGGCGGGGUCUCUGGAGCAGUUCCUGACGCUGAGGAGCGAAAGUGUGGGGAGCGAACAGG